rnacentral:rRNA from 1 species
UUUCGCAAUGCCCGAAAGGGUGACGAAGCGACGCCGCGUGUGGGAAGAAGGCCUUCGGGUUGUAAACCGCUGUUGGGAGUUAGGAAGUGUGGGAGUGUUAAUAGCGCUUCCACUUGACUAAAGCUCCAGAGGAAGCCACGGCUAACUCUGAGCCAGCAGCCGCGGUAAUACAGAGGCGGCAAGCGUUGUUCGGAAUUAUUGGGCGUAAAGAGCACGUAGGCGGCUCUGCAAGUCAGCUGUGAAAGCCUUCUGCUUAACGGAAGAACAGCAGUUGAAACUACAGGGCUUGAGUGCGGGAGGGGAGAGUGGAACUUCUGGUGGAGCGGUGAAAUGCGUAGAUAUCAGAAGGAACGCCGGCGGCGAAAGCGGCUCUCUGGUCCGUAACUGACGCUGAGUGUGCGAAAGCUAGGGGAGCAAACGGGAUUAGAUACCCCGGUAGUCCUAGCCGUAAACGAUGGGCACUAAGUAGAGGGGUUUU